UGGGGAAUAUUGGACAAUGGGCGAAAGCCUGAUCCAGCCAUGCCGCGUGUGUGAAGAAGGUCUUCGGAUUGUAAAGCACUUUAAGUUGGAAGGAAGGGCAUUAACCUAAUACGUUAGUGUUUUGACGUUACCGACAGAAUAAGCACCGGCUAACUCUGUGCCAGCAGCCGCGGUAAUACAGAGGGUGCAAGCGUUAAUCGGAAUUACUGGGCGUAAAGCGCGCGUAGGUGGUUUGUUAAGUUGGAUGUGAAAUCCCCGGGCUCAACCUGGGAACUGCAUUCAAAACUGACGAGCUAGAGUAUGGUAGAGGGUGGUGGAAUUUCCUGUGUAGCGGUGAAAUGCGUAGAUAUAGGAAGGAACACCAGUGGCGAAGGCGACCACCUGGACUGAUACUGACACUGAGGUGCGAAAGCGUGGGGAGCAAACA
rnacentral:rRNA from 1 species